rnacentral:rRNA from 1 species
UACAGAGGUUGCAAGCGUUAAUCGGAUUUACUGGGCGUAAAGGGUGUGUAGGUGGUUUGGAAAGUCGGUCGUGAAAUCUCCGGGCUUAACUCGGAAAGGUCAACUGAUACCGUGCGACUAGAGUGCAGAAGGGGCAACUGGAAUUCUCGGUGUAGCGGUGAAAUGCGUAGAUAUCGAGAGGAACACCUGCGGCGAAGGCGGGUUGCUGGGCUGACACUGACGCUGAUGCGCGAAAGCCAGGGGAGCGAACGGG